rfam:Erythranthe guttata cultivar DTN x IM62 scaffold_46_contig_26, whole genome shotgun sequence.
GCGCUCUUAGUUCAGUUCGGUAAAACAUGGGUCUCCAAAACCCAAUGUCGUAGGUUCAAAUCCUACAGACGUG